rnacentral:rRNA from 1 species
UGCGGAGCGAAAUUAAGUAGCGAAGUAGCUGAUUUCACACUGUCGAGAAAAGUCUCUAUCGAGGUUAAAGGUGCCUGUACCGCAAACCGACACAGGUGGGUGAGGAGAUAUCCUAAGGCCAGCGAGAGAACUGUUGUUAAGGAACUCGGCAAAAUGACCCCGUAACUUCGGGAGAAGGGGUGCCUUCGAAAGAAGGCCGCAGAGAAUAGGCCCAAGCGACUGUUUACCAAAAACAUAGGUUUCUGCUAAGUCGCAAGACGAUGUAUAGGAGCUGACGCCUGCCCGGUGCUGGAAGGUUAAGGGGAUCUGUUAGAGCAAUCGAAGCAGUGAACUUAAGCCCCAGUAAACGGCGGCCGUAACUAUAACGGUCCUAAGGUAGCGAAAUUCCUUGUCGGGUAAGUUCCGACCCGCACGAAAGGCGUAACGAUUUGGGCACUGUCUCAACAACAGACUCAGUGAAAUUGUAAUACCGGUGAAGAUGCCGGUUACCUGCGACAGGGCGGAAAGACCCCAUGGAGCUUUACUGUAGCUUGACAUUGAGUCUCGGUGCUACAUGUACAGGAUAGGUGGGAGACUAUGAAGCAUGGACGUCAGUCUGUGUGGAGUCAUCCUUGGGAUACCACCCUUGUAGUACUGGGAUUCUAACCAGAGGCCAUGAAUCUGGUCUUGGGACACUGUCAGGUGGACAGUUUGACUGGGGCGGUCGCCUCCCAAAAAGUAACGGAGGCGCUCAAAGGUUCUCUCAGUACGGUCGGAAAUCGUACGAAGAGUGUAAAGGCAAAAGAGAGCUUGAUUGCAAGACAUACAGGUCGAGCAAGGACGAAAGUCGGACUUAGUGAUCCGGUGGUUCCGCAUGGAAGGGCCAUCGCUCAACGGAUAAAAGCUACCCUGGGGAUAACAGGCUGAUCUCCCCCAAGAGUCCACAUCGACGGGGAGGUUUGGCACCUCGAUGUCGGCUCAUCACAUCCUGGGGCUGUAGUAGGUCCCAAGGGUUGGGCUGUUCGCCCAUUAAAGUGGUACGCGAGCUGGGUUCAGAACGUCGUGAGACAGUUCGGUCCCUAUCCGUCGCAGGCGUAGGAAAUUUGAGGAGACCUGUCCUUAGUACGAGAGGACCGGGAUGGACGUACCGCUGGUGUACCAGUUGUUCUGCCAAGGGCAUGGCUGGGUAGCUAAGUACGGAAAGGAUAAGCGCUGAAAGCAUCU